AUGAAUCUUUGAGACAUAAAUCCACAAAUUCAAGUCUUCCCAGAUUACACAGGCAUUUUCUAGGAGGGGAACUACAUUGAGCCUUCUGCUAAUAAGACAAGACCACAGUAAGAGCUUGAUGUUUGCCUUCCUGGGAGAGAAUGGCCGGUUCUCUUGAAAAACAAAAGUUAAAUUCUUC
rnacentral:lncRNA from 1 species